AUUGUUCAGUGACUCACAUGGUGGAGAUUAGAGGACAGCUUGGAGUGUUUUAUGUGGGUCCCUGGGGAUUGACUACAGAUUAGCAGUGGGAAGAGUCUUAACUACUGAGCUAUCUCACUGGUCUUACUUUUUUUGUAUUUGGAGAUGCUGUCUCAUUCUGUUGCCCAGGCUGGCCCAGAACUCAUAGCAGUCUGCCUCCUGCUUCUGCUUUCCAAUGUGCUGAGAUGACUGGCUUGAGCCAUUCUUCCUGGACCAUUGCUUUAUAUGUAUUCAUUGGUUAAUCUUCACAAAAGCCCUGUGAAAUAAGCAGACCACAUUGAGAAGGUUAAUGUAUUAACUGUAAUCUUGGGCAAGUAGAGCCACUAAGAUACUUAUCUUGUCUUCAUUUUCCUAAUGCAAUUUCAUUUCAAAUGCUGAUCUCCAACCUGAGCUCUGUGGCUGUACCUGUAAUCACAGCAUUCUGGAGAUUUGGGGCCAGAGAGACUGUGAGUUUGAGGCUAUUGUAGGAUACAGAGCAAGACCCUGUCAAAAAAGGACAAGUUGAUCCUGUUUUAAUUCAGAUUGUUUUUAAUUUAGUCAAUUUAUUUUAGUAGAUUUAAUUUAAUUUAGUAGAUGUUCAAGAUGUUCAGCCUUGCCCCUCCCGAGUACUAGGAAUAUAGGCCACCAUGAACAUGCCUGGGCUUUUCUGCUUGUUUUGCUUGGUGUUUACAAUGCAGUUUAUUUUAGGGGAAGCCGACACCAGUAUGACACCUUGAACUGAGGACCUUGCAUAUACAAGGCAAGCAUUCUACUGCGGACCCCCAGCCCAUACUUUUGUUUUGAUAUUAUUUCAGUUUGGGCAUUUACUGAAUUUUCUGCUAAUGUUAUUUUGAAAAAGAUAUGAACUCUAGACGGGUUAGAAUUCUUUAUGAAGCUUUUAAUGACGAAUGUAAGUUUGUAUGUGUUUAUACACAGUCAUUUUUCUGGUCAGAAUUUAUAACCACUGUGAAAAUAGUUGUUACUAAGUCUUAUUGCUCUCAGUGUAUGGUUUGGCAACCUCUAAACUCAUUGAAAACAUUUAUGAAUUUAAAGUAUUUUCAUAAUACUAUACAUUACAAUGAAUUUGCCUUCUAUACUGUGUUGUUUAUAGCAAUGGUGAGAAAGAUGUGUCAGUCUGUAGGAGUCUUGGUUGGUGUUAAUCAGUGCAGUGGCACCAGCAUUACUAGUGGUCACAGUAACCUCAGUAACACAUUGGAGCCACUGAGAGCAUGAUGAGGAUGAGGAUGAUAUCUUUUGAGACAGAGUCUCUAUGUAGUCUUGACUGGACUUGAACUCAGAUCACAGUUCACCUGCCUCUGCCUCCUCCCAAGUGCUAGGAGUAAUGGUGUGCACCACCACACCCAGCUAGAACUGACCAGUUCUUCAGAACACCCUUGGCACAGCAGUAAGAAGUGUUACUUUCGGCUUGAAUACCUGGCAGAUAAAAGUUUUAUUACAAAAUGGAAAACACCAAAAGCAUUUCUGCAGCAGGGUAAGGCGUAUACUAUGUAAGGAAGAGCUUUGGUAAAGCUCUUUACAGAGCUGGCUGCUCUCUUUGUUUUAUUUUACUUUAAAGAGCUGACAGCAUACAUUUAAUCCCUGAAGCAGGCAGAUCUCUAUGAGUUUGAGGCUAGCCUGGUCUACAUAGCAAGUUUUACACCAGCCAGGGUUAUACAGUAAAAUCUAAUCUCAAAAAUAAGUAAAGAACUAAUAAAUGGUGCAGGCCAGCAAGACUAAACUUGGAGAGUGGAGUAGGAGGAUCAGGAGUUGGAGGCCACCUUGGGCUGCAGAGUUUACAGCAGUUUGGGCUAUGGGCUUUGUGAAUGCCUAUGUCCAAAAGAAAAAAAGAAAAGGAAAAAAAAAAAAAGAAAGACCUGACAGGGAGUAGUUAUUGAAUUAUUGAAUCAUGGAUAUUUGGUUUUCUCAGAUGAGCAUUGAACCUGUUGAUGUAAUAGUAUUUGUUGACAAUGGUAAAAUUUGAGUUUUCAAGCAAAAGUUGGGGUUUUGGAAAAUGUGUAUGUCAUCAUGGACUUGACAGUUUCAGAUUUUCAAAGGCCUUUCCGAUGAAAUCAGUAGUACUAACAUUGUGUAAUGAAUUGUGUCAGUGCUUUGGAAAAUCUGCAUGUCUAAGUAAUGUGUUACAGGUGACCAGUGCAUGAGGUGUUAGAAGCAUUUGUUGAAGCAAGUAUAAGCAAGGGCUUUGGGACUGAGGAUGCAGGCCACUGCGCUCUUUUCAGGUUACAGAGCUCUAAGAAACUACUGCCUGUCGGGCUAGAGAGAUGCUUUUCCAGGGGUUCUGAGUUCAGAUUCUCAGCAACCACACAGUGGCUUACAACCAUCUCUAAUGAGAUCUGAUGCCUUCUUCUGGGGUGCAUAAAGACAGUAUACUUGUAUAUAGAUAGAUAGAUAGAUAGAUAGAUAGAUAGAUAGAUAGAUAGAUAGAUAGAUAGAUAGAUAGAAUCCUAAAAAAAAAAAAAACAA
rnacentral:lncRNA from 1 species